rnacentral:rRNA from 1 species
CUUAACACAUGCAAGUCGAGGGGGCAGCAUGAACUUAGCUUGCUAAGUUUGAUGGCGACCGGCGCACGGGUGAGUAACACGUAUCCAACCUGCCGAUGACUCGGGGAUAGCCUUUCGAAAGAAAGAUUAAUACCCGAUGGCAUAGUUCUUCCGCAUGGUAGAACUAUUAAAGAAUUUCGGUCAUCGAUGGGGAUGCGUUCCAUUAGGUUGUUGGCGGGGUAACGGCCCACCAAGCCUUCGAUGGAUAGGGGUUCUGAGAGGAAGGUCCCCUACAUUGGAACUGAGACACGGUCCAAACUCCUACGGGAGGCAGCAGUGAGGAAUAUUGGUCAAUGGACGAGAGUCUGAACCAGCCAAGUAGCGUGAAGGAUGACUGCCCUAUGGGUUGUAAACUUCUUUUAUACGGGAAUAAAGUGAGGCACGUGUGCCUUUUUGUAUGUACCGUAUGAAUAAGGAUCGGCUAACUCCGUGCCAGCAGCCGCGGUAAUACGGAGGAUCCGAGCGUUAUCCGGAUUUAUUGGGUUUAAAGGGAGCGUAGGCGGACGCUUAAGUCAGUUGUGAAAGUUUGCGGCUCAACCGUAAAAUUGCAGUUGAUACUGGAUAUCUUGAGUGCAGUUGAGGCAGGCGGAAUUCGUGGUGUAGCGGUGAAAUGCUUAGAUAUCACGAAGAACUCCGAUUGCGAAGG